AAGAGUCCUAAACCAACCUGAGGAACAACGCAAGAUACCCUGCAGGGUUAUCAGCCUCCUACAAGGGAGUCCCAGGCCCAAGACUCUAUCCAGAAAGAUUCUCCAUUCCUCAUUUUCCUCUAUGGCUACCAGUCAAUUUCUGAGGGUCUUGCUCUGUCACCCAAGCUGGAGUGCAAUGGUGUAAUCAUAGCUCACUGCAACCUCGACUCCUGGGCUCAACUCUCACUUCAGGCAUCUUCCUUCUUCAUUCUGGAUCCCCAAGGGCAUGCUGGCUGUCCUCUGGAGGCAAUCAGAGAUGAGUCUUGCUCUGUCACCCAGACUGGAGUACACUGGCACGAUGUCAGCUCACUGCAACCUCUACCUCCUGGGUUCAAGUGAUUCUCCUGCCUCAGCCUCCUCAGGACACUUCUUUGUCUGCAAAUGCGUCUUCUCAUUUUACCCACCUGUGACUACGAAGUAGUUUAAAUCUAAAGAAGCAAGUCUUUGGUUUUCUUCUAUGUCUUCCUUUUUCCUUCUGGAAAUCCUAUUACUAGACAAUUUAAGUCUCUACCUAAAGGGUCCUCUCUGUCUUGUAUCUGUGUAUUUCUCUUGGUAUUUAGUAUAUUUUGUUUUGUUUUGCUCUGGGUUAUGGGGAUCCCACUAAAUGCUAUUUUGAUUUUCAGAAGUAAUGAUUCUCUUUAAUUUCUACACUGAAUGUCUAAAUUUAGAAAUCAUACUUUUCAGUUCCAUAAUUUCAUUUUUUAAUGCUCUAAUUGUAUCUUCUUAAAUGUCCUCAUUAUGCUUCUCCUCCUCGUUAGGUUUUAACUGAAGUUUACUUCUCUUUCUCUUAUUAAUUCUAUGUCUAUGUUAGUCAUAUUUUCUGGUCAUGCAAUUUGGUCUGUCUCUGGGAAAUUGCAUGUUUCCUUUGCAAGUCAGUUGUUGGAAUUCUUCAAGCCAUAGUGAACUGACUGCCACUGGAUGGGCCAGCAGUCAUGAGACAGGCAGCUGGGACUUUCUGUUGAGGUUUUUGGGGGCAUGGUAUCUGUUCUCAGAUGCAAGAAGUGAAACCUUUUUUUCUAGUGCCACUGAAAUCAAUGGAAUUGAUCAGUUUCUCCCAGAUGAUGGUCAUAGCAAGGCAGUAAGGCAGCCAGAUUUGGAUCCUCAUCUCUAGAUACCAAACUAUGAGCUCUGAGCUGUGUCUGGACUCUUCAUUUGGUGGUUGAAUUGUCCUAGCUGGGAGGGACUGAAAAUCAAAAGUGAUCAGCCAAUACAGGUUGUCAUUUUCCCUGAAUUUCCCAAGGAUAGGCAAAUACAGCUCUGUUGGCCCGAGUCAGUGGGACUCUGCAGGACAGUGUUUCCUAGCUCCACUCGGCAGCUUUGGCUCAGUCUCAGUAGUCACAGCAAUGGUACUCCUCCAUUCAUUUUUUUGCCCCUUGGGCUAAUCCAUGAAAAUAAAGUAAAAAUUUUAAGUUCCAGCCACCCUAGUGACAAAAUUCAAAAUCCCAGUUUUUAGGAGAAAAAGUACGAAAAGAAAACCUUCUGUUAACUUUUCAACAAGUUUUCCUCUGCCUUACUUUCUCUAUCUGGUACUAGACCUCUUACUUGUGAGUCAACAUCUGCUGUUCCAUGUGGCCUGGCUUGUAGAGUCCUGUGUGUUGUAACCUCUGGUGAUUACAGGUCUAUUACACUUUGCUUAGAGAUCAACAGAGUGACAUCCUAGGGUCUCAGCCUCAACCCUCCAGGCCGCAAGGCUCCCAACUCCACUCCACCAUCCUUGACUUGUGGAACAUGCAUCCUCCUGGGGAUAAACCUCUACCGAGAUGUUCUUGUAAGAGUGGCUGGAAGUGCCUGCAUCAGAAACUCACGAAAGCUGAUAAAGUUGCAGAGUCCUUGCUUUCCUCACGUGGGAGUGGGGAGCUGCUGUUGGCAUUUAAGAUGAUUCUGAUUCAUGCUACAAUUUGACAACCUACAAAGCCACAUGGAAGAAAACUCUCUUCCACAUGGCCUGAAGAGACCUAAGCAUCCACGUGCUCACUGCUCUCAGUGCUCAGAGAACACCUGGGAAAUUGUCUUUGAAUUAUAUAGAACAAGUUGUCCACUAAAUGAAUAACAUCUGGAAGCAUUCCAACCUGGUAAAGCCCCUUGAAUGUUGCCUAUGAUGUGGGCGCAUUUGAUUCCAGGUCAUAUGUGCAAUGCUCUGCUGCAGACACUUUAGCUUUCAGAUUUUGUGGGCUACUGUUAUAGGAACACAGGUCUAUGCAAUGAGGUCUUGUAGCUGCUUCCUAAGCUUUGCACAUCAAUCCAUCAGCUCUAAAAUUCUGGACAAUAUUAUUGCUGGCUACAAUAGUACUAUUUAUAAUAGUGCAAAUGAAUCAGAUUGAUUUUCUCCUUGAACACUAGAAUAUUUACUCUGAAUCAUCAAGGGCAAAAGGUCAAUUCCCCUCAAAAAGAUCAUGCAACCCUCUCUAUCAGAGGAUAAACAAUUCUUCAAGUAUUGAGGCGAGAAAAAUGACUUUGGGCCAGGCGUAGUGGCUCACAUCUGUAAUCCCAGCACUUUGGGAGGCCGAGGAGGGAGACCUCAGUUGAGGUCAGGAGUUUGAGACCAGCCUGGGUAAUAUGGUGAAACCCCGUCUCUACUAAAAACACAAAAAUUAGCUAGGCAUGGUAGCAGGUGCCUGUAAUCCCAGCUACUCGGGAGGCUGAGGCAGGAGAGUCACUUGAACCCAGGAGGUGGAGGUUGCAGUGAGCUACGAUUGCACUAUUGCACUCCAGCCUGGGUGACAGAGUGAGACUCCAUCUCAAAAAAAAAAAAAAAAAAGACAAGUGACUUUGUCCACUGGGUAGCCAAGCUUUCAUUUUGCUUAGUGACGGAGUCUAGUACUUGAGAUCCAUAUCAUAGCAACACAAAACUUCCAUUGAGGAUGUAGCUUUUCAUAUGCAUCAUUCCCUUCACUUCUCACAUUGGUGUCCACUGAGGCACAGAGACAUGGUACAGGAUACAAAUGGUGAUGCUGGAAAGCGAACCUAAGUCUGGCUGUACAAUCUACACACCUCACCACUGUGUGCUCAGCUGUAGGCUUAAUACUAGUGAGACAGGCAUGCUUACCUGUAUUUGUUCAUUAAUUUGUUCAAUAAAAAGGACUUUGUGUAAGGUUCUACAUCAGGUGCUUGGGACACAAAGUCAGGUAAUUUAUGAACCCUCCCUGCCCUUGCCAUUUCCAAUCUAAUGACAAACACAAAGAACCAAAGGGGCAAUUAAAAUAAUUAGUGUAAGUGCUAGAGCAGAAGAAGGGUGAGGCUGGGGAGGCACAGACACAGGGUGCAUAACCAUGUGAGUGUCAGUCAGAAAAGCCCUCCUGGGGGAGUUGGCUUCUGAGUUGAAUCCCAAGGGCUGAGCAGGGCUUAAUUAGAGGAAUUGGAGGACCCAGGUGAAAGCAACAUGCACCAAGGCCCAGAGCGGCAAAGGCCAGGCAUCAGGAACCUGGAGGAAGUUUACUUUGAGGAGGGUUUAUAUGAACAGGUUAGGAAAAGAGUUGAGAGACAAGCAGGAGGGGCUGGCUGGGGCCUAACCUAAAAUGGCCUCUCUGCUGUGAGAAAAGCUUGGGCUUUAUCCUGAUGGCAACAUCAAGCCAUUACAGUGUUUUAAGAGGAGGAGUAACAGGCUCAGCUUUUCUUCACAGGGGGAAGCUGCUGAUAGACACGGGAGGGAUGAACUUGCCUGCAGCUCUGCUCUUAGAUCACAGAGGCCCAAGUUCAACUGGCAUGGGGGCUGCAAACCUCCUGCCCAACAGCAUAUAUGACCAGAAAAAGAAAACAUCUGAAGAGAAUUAUGAACAUGCUACAUGCGUUUCUAAAGUAUAAAUGACUAAA